rnacentral:rRNA from 1 species
AACGAACGCUGGCGGCAUGCCUAACACAUGCAAGUCGAACGAGACCUUCGGGUCUAGUGGCUCACGGGUGCGUAACGCGUGGGAACCUUCCCUUAGGUUCGGAAUAACUCCCCGAAAGGGGUGCUAAUACCGGAUAAUUUCUGCGGACCAAAGAUUUAUCGCCUUUGGAUGGGCCCGCGUUGUAUUAGCUAGUUGGUAGUGUAAAAGCCUACCAAGGCGACGAUCCAUAGCUGGUCUGAGAGGAUGAUCAGCCACACUGGGACUGAGACACGGCCCAGACUCCUACGGGAGGCAGCAGUGGGGAAUAUUGGACAAUGGGCGAAAGCCUGAUCCAGCAAUGCCGCGUGAGUGAUGAAGGCCUGAGGGUUGUAAAGCUCUUUUACCCGGGAUGAUAAUGACAGUACCGGGAGAAUAAGCUCCGGCUAACUCCGUG